AUCUACGGCCGUAACAGCCUGAACGUGCCCGACCCAGUCUGAUAUCAGAAGCUAAGCAGGGUCAGGCCCGGUUAGUCCUUGGAUGGGAGACCGUCCUAGAAGAGCGUCCAGGGACACUAGACA
rnacentral:rRNA from 1 species